AUGAACGCUGGCGGCGUGCCUAAUACAUGCAAGUCGAGCGAACAGACGAGGAGCUUGCUCCUCUGACGUUCGCGGCGGACGGGUGAGUAACACGUGGAUAGCCUACCUAUAAGACUGGGAUAACUUCGGGAAACCGGAGCUAAUACCGGAUAAUAUAUUGAACCGCAUGGUUCAAUAGUGAAAGACGGUUUUGCUGUCACUUAUAGAUGGAUCCGCGCCGCAUUAGCUAGUUGGUAAGGUAACGGCUUACCAAGGCAACGAUGCGUAGCCGACCUGAGAGGGUGAUCGGCCACACUGGAACUGAGACACGGUCCAGACUCCUACGGGAGGCAGCAGUAGGGAAUCUUCCGCAAUGGGCGAAAGCCUGACGGAGCAACGCCGCGUGAGUGAUGAAGGUCUUCGGAUCGUAAAACUCUGUUAUUAGGGAAGAACAAAUGUGUAAGUAACUAUGCACGUCUUGACGGUACCUAAUCAGAAAGCCACGGCUAACUACGUG
rnacentral:rRNA from 1 species